rnacentral:misc_RNA from 1 species
UCCGGUUUGUCACCGGCAGUCUCAUUAGAGUGCCCAACUGAAUGUAGCAACUAAUGACAAGGGUUGCGCUCGUUGCGGGACUUAACCCAACAUCUCACGACACGAGCUGACGACAGCCAUGCAGCACCUGUGUUCCCGUUCCCUUUCGGGCACAGCCCCCUUUCAGGGGCCUCCAGGACAUGUCAAGGGUAGGUAAGGUUUUUCGCGUUGCAUCGAAUUAAUCCACAUAAUCCACCGCUUGUGCGGGUCCCCGUCAAUUCCUUUGAGUUUUAACCUUGCGGCCGUACUCCCCAGGCGGUGUGUUUAACGCUUUCGCUACGCCGCCGAGAACCUGAGGUUCCCAACAGCUAACACACAUCGUUUAUGGCGUGGACUAC